AGCGAACGCUGGCGGCAGGCCUAACACAUGCCAGUCGAACGGAUCCUUCGGGAUUAGUGGCGGACGGGUGAGUAACACGUGGGAACGUGCCCUUUGGUUCGGAACAACUCAGGGAAACUUGAGCUAAUACCGGAUGUGCCCUUCGGGGGAAAGAUUUAUCGCCAUUGGAGCGGCCCGCGUCUGAUUAGCUAGGUGGUGAGGUAACGGCCCACCAAGGCGACGAUCAGUAGCUGGUCUGAGAGGAUGAUCAGCCACACUGGGACUGAGACACGGCCCAGACUCCUACGGGAGGCAGCAGUGGGGAAUCUUGCGCAAUGGGCGAAAGCCUGACGCAGCCAUGCCGCGUGAAUGAUGAAGGUCUUAGGAUUGUAAAAUUCUUUCAGCGGGGACGAUAAUGACGGUACCCGCAGAAGAAGCGCCGGCUAACUUCGUG
rnacentral:rRNA from 1 species